rnacentral:rRNA from 1 species
UACGUAGGGGGCAAGCGUUGUCCGGAAUUAUUGGGCGUAAAGAGCGUGUAGGCGGCCAGGUAGGUCCGUUGUGAAAACUCGAGGCUCAACCUCGAGACGCCGAUGGAAACCAUCUGGCUAGAGUCCGGAAGAGGAGAGUGGAAUUCCCGGUGUAGCGGUGAAAUGCGCAGAUAUCGGGAAGAACACCCGUGGCUAAGGCGGCUCUCUAGUACGGUACUGACGCUGAGACGCGAAAGCGUGGGGAGCGAACAGG